rnacentral:rRNA from 1 species
GAUGAACGCUGGCGGCGUGCUUAACACAUGCAAGUCGAACGGAAAGGCCAGUGCUUGCACUGGUACUCGAGUGGCGAACGGGUGAGUAACACGUGGGUGAUCUGCCCUGCACUUCGGGAUAAGCCUGGGAAACUGGGUCUAAUACCGGAUAGGACAAUUGUUUGCAUGCCGUUGUGGAAAGUUUUUUGGUUGUGGGCUGAGCUCGCGGCCUAUCGGCUCGUUGGUGGGAUAAUGGCCUACCAAGGCGUCGAGGGGUAGCCGGCCUGUGAGAGUGUACGACGACCUAGGGUCUUAGGUACGGCACAGAUUCCGACGCGAGGGAGAAGUGGGGAAUAUUGCACAAUGGGCGCCGGCCUGAUGCAGAGGCGCCUCGUGUUGGAUGACGGCGUUCAGCUUGUAAACACCUUUCGCUAGGGACGAAGCGUAUGUGUGACGGUACCUGGAGAAAAAGCCCCGGCUAACUACGUG